UGCCAGACUCCUACGGGAGGCAGCAGUGGGGAAUAUUGCACAAUGGGGGAAACCCUGAUGCAGCGACGCCGCGUGAGUGAAGAAGUAUUUCGGUAUGUAAAGCUCUAUCAGCAGGGAAGAAAAUGACGGUACCUGAUUAAGAAGCCCCGGCUAACUACGUGCCAGCAGCCGCGGUAAUACGUAGGGGGCAAGCGUUAUCCGGAUUUACUGGGUGUAAAGGGAGCGUAGACGGUGAUGCAAGUCAGAAGUGAAAGCCCGGGGCUCAACUCCGGGACUGCUUUGGAAACUGUGCGGCUAGAGUACUGGAGGGGCAGGCGGAAUUCCUAGUGUAGCGGUGAAAUGCGUAGAUAUUAGGAGGAACACCAGUGGCGAAGGCGGCCUGCUGGACAGUAACUGACGUUGAGGCUCGAAAGCGUGGGGAGCAAACAGGAUUAGAUACCCGCGUAUG
rnacentral:rRNA from 1 species